rnacentral:sRNA from 1 species
CGUGCUGCGAAGGACGCCCUGCGGUUUC